GUGGAAUUCUUUGGUAUUGGUUUUGUGACAUUGUCAAUCUUUCGGUUGUGUUGCUCCUACUGUUUGUGAAUUUAAUCAUUUGAUAAACUCAUUUUUAUUCAUAUGUUAAUAGCUGGAGAAACAUGAAGAUUAAGUGGCAAUUUAUGUGGAAUUCUUUGGUAUUGGUUUUGUGACAUUGUCAAUCUUUCGGUUGUGUU